rnacentral:rRNA from 1 species
GAUGAACGCUGGCGGCGUGCCUAAUACAUGCAAGUCGAGCGAACAGACGAGGAGCUUGCUCCUCUGACGUUAGCGGCGGACGGGUGAGUAACACGUGGAUAACCUACCUAUAAGACUGGGAUAACUUCGGGAAACCGGAGCUAAUACCGGAUAAUAUAUUGAACCGCAUGGUUCAAUAGUGAAAGACGGUUUUGCCGUCACUUAUAGAUGGAUCCGCGCCGCAUUAGCUAGUUGGUGAGGUAACGGCUUACCAAGGCAACGAUGCGUAGCCGACCUGAGAGGGUGAUCGGCCACACUGGAACUGAGACACGGUCCAGACUCCUACGGGAGGCAGCAGUAGGGAAUCUUCCGCAAUGGGCGAAAGCCUGACGGAGCAACGCCGCGUGAGUGAUGAAGGUCUUCGGAUCGUAAAACUCUGUUAUUAGGGAAGAACAAAUGUGUAAGUAACUAUGCACGUCUUGACGGUACCUAAUCAGAAAGCCACGGCUAACUACGUG